GAUGAACGCUGGCGGCGUGCUUAACACAUGCAAGUCGAACGAAGCAUUUGCGACAGAUUUUUUCGGAAUGAAGUUGCUUAUGACUGAGUGGCGGACGGGUGAGUAACGCGUGGGUAACCUGCCUUGUACUGGGGGAUAGCAGCUGGAAACGGCUGGUAAUACCGCAUAAGCGCACAAUGUUGCAUGACAUGGUGUGAAAAACUCCGGUGGUAUAAGAUGGACCCGCGUCUGAUUAGCUAGUUGGUGAGAUAACAGCCCACCAAGGCGACGAUCAGUAGCCGACCUGAGAGGGUGACCGGCCACAUUGGGACUGAGACACGGCCCAGACUCCUACGGGAGGCAGCAGUGGGGAAUAUUGCACAAUGGAGGAAACUCUGAUGCAGCGACGCCGCGUGAGUGAAGAAGUAAUGCGUUAUGUAAAGCUCUAUCAGCAGGGAAGAUAGUGACGGUACCUGACUAAGAAGCUCCGGCUAAAUACGUG
rnacentral:rRNA from 1 species